rnacentral:lncRNA from 1 species
CGUGCAGCUUUCUUUCCAAGAGUUUCUCCAUGCCAAGAUAAGUCCAAAAAAAUCCAUCUCAACCUUUGAGAUGUGUGUCAGAGAGUGAAGGAUGAUGCAGGCUACCACAUGGGUCUUAAACCCAAAGAAGAAGGACUCUUGGUCCUUCUUCACACCAAAAUGUGCACGCCCACUCCAUCUUGUGUGCCUAGAGUCCAACCAAGCUUGGACUCUUGGUUAUGGCACCCCAAUGGCCA